CCUUGUGAUCUACCCAUGGGCAGGUUGAAGCUUUGGUAACACAAAGUGGAGGACCGAACCGGUUGACGUUGAAAAGUCUUCGGAUGACCUGUGGGUAGGGGUGAAAGGCCAAUCAAACUGGGAAAUAGCUCGUACUCCCCGAAAUGCAUUUAGGUGCAGCGUUUAGUAAAGUGUCUUAGAGGUAGAGCUACUGAUUGGAUGCGGGGGCUUCACCGCCUACCAAUUCCUGACAAACUCCGAAUGCUAAGACAUGUUUCUAGGCAGUGAGGGCAUGGGUGCUAAGGUCCAUGUCCGAGAGGGAAAGAACCCAGACCAUCAGCUAAGGUCCCCAAAUGUAUGCUAAGUUGAAAAAACGCGGUUGGACUGCAUAGACAGCUAGGAUGUUAGCUUGGAAGCAGCUAUUCAUUUAACGAGUGCGUAACAGCUCACUAGUCGAGCGGUCCGGCAUGGAUAAUAAUCGGGCAUAAGUAUACUACCGAAGCUAUGGAUUACAUACGUAAGUAUGUACUGGUAGGGGAGCAUUCUAUCGGCGCAGAAGCUGUCUGGUAAUGGACAGUGGAGCUUAUAGAAAAGAAAAUGUAGGCAUGAGUAACGAUAAAAUAAGUGAGAAACUUAUUCGCCGUAAGAUCAAGGGUUCCUAAGCUAUGCUAAUCAGCUUAGGGUUAGUCGGGUCCUAACAUGUACCCUUUGGGGGAAGUGGAUGGCAAACGGGUUAAUAUUCCCGUACCUGCUCUCAAUAAAAGUGACGUAUGAAUGUAUUAAGUGCGUGCUGACGGAAUAGCACGUUGAACCUAGGUAAACUAGGGAUAGUACACAAAGGUUUCGGCUGGAGUGAUAAUCUUAAGAAGUUUGUACCAAGAAAUAGCGAGAGAAGCAGCCCGUACCGUAAACCGACACAGGUGAUCGAGGAGAGUAUCCUAAGGCGCUCGAGUGAGUCGUGGUUAAGGAAUUAGGCAAAAUAGACCUGUAACUUCGGGAGAAAGGUCGCUCCCUUGAGAGGGGGAGCCGCAGAAAAAAGGCCCAGGCGACUGUUUAUCAAAAACACAGGACUCUGCAAAAUCGAAAGAUGACGUAUAGGGUCUGACACCUGCCCGGUGCUGGAAGGUUAAGGAAGGGGGUUAGAGGUAACUCGAAGCUCUUAACUGAAGCCCCAGUAAACGGCGGCCGUAACUAUAACGGUCCUAAGGUAGCGAAAUUCCUUGUCGGGUAAGUUCCGACCUGCACGAAUGGUGUAACGAUCUGGGCACUGUCUCAACCACGAGCUCGGUGAAAUUGUAGUAUCGGUGAAGAUGCCGGUUAAUCGCAACGGGACGAAAAGACCCUGUGAACCUUUACUAUAGCUUCGUAUUGACUUCGGGUAAAUAAUGUGUAGGAUAGGUGGGAGACUAUGAAUCAGUAUCGCUAGGUAUUGAGGAGUCGUUGUUGAAAUACCACCCUUUAUUUACUUGGAGCCUAACUCCUGACGGAGGACAUUGCGUGGUGGGUAGUUUGACUGGGGUGGUCGCCUCCAAAAGAGUAACGGAGGCUUUCAAAGGUACCCUCAGCACGCUUGGUAACCGUGCGUAGAGUGUAAUGGCAUAAGGGUGCUU
rnacentral:rRNA from 1 species